CAGUCGCCACGGUAAGACAGAGGAUGCAAGCGUUAUCCGGAAUGAUUGGGCGUAAAGCGUCUGUAGGUGGCUUUUCAAGUCCGCCGUCAAAUCCCAGGGCUCAACCCUGGACAGGCGGCGGAAACUACCAAGCUGGAGUACGUUAGGUGCAGAGGGAAUUUCCGGUGGAGCGGUGAAAUGCGUUGAGAUCGGAAAGAGCACCAACGGCGAAAGCACUCUGCUGGGCCGACACUGACACUGAGAGGCGAAAGCUAGGGGAGCAAAUGGGAUUAGAGACCCCUGUAGUCCCUGUCUCUUAUAC
rnacentral:rRNA from 1 species